rnacentral:miRNA from 1 species
CAAGUGGUGGAUAUAGAACCACCUUUCAUGGCAGU